GACGAACGCUGGCGGCGUGCUUAACACAUGCAAGUCGAACGAAGAGCGAUGGAAGCUUGCUUCUAUCAAUCUUAGUGGCGAACGGGUGAGUAACGCGUAAUCAACCUGCCCUUCAGAGGGGGACAACAGUUGGAAACGACUGCUAAUACCGCAUACGAUCUAAUCUCGGCAUCGAGGAUAGAUGAAAGGUGGCCUCUACAUGUAAGCUAUCACUGAAGGAGGGGAUUGCGUCUGAUUAGCUAGUUGGAGGGGUAACGGCCCACCAAGGCGAUGAUCAGUAGCCGGUCUGAGAGGAUGAACGGCCACAUUGGGACUGAGACACGGCCCAGACUCCUACGGGAGGCAGCAGUGGGGAAUCUUCCGCAAUGGACGAAAGUCUGACGGAGCAACGCCGCGUGAGUGAUGACGGCCUUCGGGUUGUAAAGCUCUGUUAAUCGGGACGAAAGGCCUUCUUGCGAAUAGNGAGAAGGAUGA
rnacentral:rRNA from 1 species